ensembl:lncRNA
UUUUUUUUUUUUUUUUUUUUUACUUUAUAAAUAAAAACGUGCUCUAUAAGCCAGGCGUGGUGGCUCACGCCUGUAAUCCUAGCACUUCGGGAGGCUGAGGUGGGCAGAUCACCUGAGGUCAGGAGUUCAGGACCAGCCUGGCCAACACGGCGAAACCCUUUCUCUACUAAAAAUACAAAAAUUAGCCGGUCAUGGUGGCACAUGCCUGUAAUCCCAGCUAGCUACUCCAGAGGCUGAGGCAGGAGAAUCCCUUGAACCCGAGAGGCAGAGGUUGCAGUGAGCCAAGAUCAUGCUACUACCCUCCAGUCUGGGUGACAGAGCAAGACUCCGUCUCAAAAAUAAGAGAAAAAAAAGAAAAAAAAAAAAACAAAAAAAGCUCUAUAAAUAAAGUUUAGUAAGAUUAGAUAAUUUGCUCAAAGUGAGAGUAAGUAGCUAUGUUAGCGGUGGAGGGUGUCCAGGUUCUUGGCGUCCUGAACGAAGAAUUGGACAAAAUGCACAAACAAAGCAAGGAAAGAAUGAAGCAACAAAAGCAGAAAUUUAUUGAAAGUACACUCCAGAGUGUGGGAGCAGGUCAAGCACAGGGGCUCCAGGACCCAGUUACAGAAUUGUGAGGGGUUUAAAUACCCUCUAGAGGAUCUCAUUGGUGACUUGGUGUACCCCCCCUAUGUAAAUAGAGAGGAUGUUUCCUGUCAUAGCUGAAGUGUGAAUCGACCUUAUGUUCCCUGCCUCCAGACCCUAUUUUCCUGCCUCAGCUACAGUCUGACUAUGAACUCAUUUGGUUAUACUAAACCCAAGGAUCCCAGCAACAACACUAAAGAACAAUAUGAAAAAAUCCUAUUUCCUACAAGUACACGGUAGCAAAGGGAGAGAUGCGACCUUCUGGUGUUACAAUAAUUGGGUAAUCAUUAAUUAGGCUGCUUUUAAAUGUAUUGUUUAUGUUGAGUAAUUUCUAUAGAAAUCAAAGACUAUGACUAUUAAUAUUCUCUUUAAAAUAUUCCUAUUUUGGCUGGGCCUGGUAGCUCACGCCUGUAAUCCCAGCAUUUUGGAAGGCUGAGGCAAGUGGAUCACUUGAGGUCAGGAGUUCAAGACCAGCCUGGCCAACACGGUGAAAUCCCCAUCUCUACUAAAAAUACAAAAAUUAGCCAGGUGUGGUGGUGCACGCCUGUAAUUCCAGCUACUCGGGAGGCUAAGGCAGGACAAUCACUUGAACCCAGGAGGCAGAGGUUGCAGUGAGCCAAGAUCGUGCCAGUGCACUCCAGCCUGGGCAAUAGAGUAAGACUCCAUCUCAAAAAACAAACAACAACAACAACAACAAAAUCAAAUACCUACUUUGGCUCAUUUAUAUCCGAUAUAGUUUGAGUUUCACAAUACCUCACUUUUCAUGUAAUCUUCCUCUGUCAGCUAUAGAUCUUGGGAAGGAGGUUUGCAUAUGUGUGUGAAAAACUCACACCCAAAGUGUUCUCUAUUCUCACUCAACAACAACACAGACUUCUGUGACCAAAUGUGGGGGAGCUCCCUUCACACACCAAGCAACCAACCAAUUCUGCAGCAGGCACCAGCUGGGUGUCCUCCCAAGUCAAUUCAAUUCUGACGCUAUCUACCUGGAGAUAGCCUUGGAACCCACAGGUUAAGGGCUCAGUCCCACAAGGCCACCGCCUCUUUCCCACCAAUCCAAAGUCCAGGCCUCUGGAACUUAGGACUUCAAGUUGGGGUUCCCCUUUUUGGGGUUUAACUUCUUAGAGUGGCUCACAACUCAAGGAAACACUUAAGUUUACCAGUUUAUUAUCAAGGGUAUCUUAAAGGAUACAAAUAAACACGCAGAUGGAGACACACAGGAUGAGGUCUGGACGGGUCCCAAGCACAGGAGCUUCUGUCCCUGUGGAGCUGAGGGGCAUCACCCUCCCGGCACAUGGAUCAGUUCUUGGUCAGCAUCCGUGCGUUCAGCAGUCCUCUUGGGCCUUCUAUGGAGACUUCCCUGAAUAAGCACGAUUGACCAUUGUGCGGAAAUAGCAUUGGACAAAAAGGGUAUGGUCUAAUACGAAUAGGCGGAGAAGGAAAAGCCCGCAAGGCCUGUCUGUUCACAUUCUUCCUGGUCCCUCUGUGCAGCAGUCCUUCCUCCAGGGUAUGGAGUAGAACCCUCUUUAGAAGGAGG